GUCUCAGUGAUGGUGAUCUGCACUUUCAGAACACUGCAUGCUGCCCCACAUCUUUCUACCUGCCUUUGCUCCGAGUGUGUCCACUGCCUGAAAGGCCCAUCCUAGUACCAGAUCCCCCAGAUGAAACCCCCAUGGUUCCCCAGCUAAGUCUUCCCACUGAGGGUUCAUUUAAGACCUGCCUCUCCUUGACUGCUAUAAGUUACCCGGCUGCCCGUACUCACACAGACACAAAAUUUGCCUGGAAAUUGUUGCAGAAUCCUCUCUGUCUUCAUUCACUUGGUGGCCAUUUUAGCAGCUUUCUCAACAACAUCUUUAAAAAUCCCAAGGACUUAACUUGACGACCAUGUGUCUUCCCAGCUGAUAUGAAUAAAUAUAAUACAUAGAAACAUACAGAAAACAUCCGAGAAAGGAUCAAUUCUUUCCAACUGGAAGAAUCACAUUUGUCUUCAUGGAUUUCUGUGGGAAGAGGAACUAGAAGAAAGACAACUGUCUGUGAGAGGAACUGCCCAGGCAAAAAAAAAUAAAGUAUGAUAUGGUUGGCAACUCA